AACCCGGAGAAAUUCGGACUAAUACCGCAUAAAGAUAUUUUGAGGCAUCUUAAGAUAUUUAAAGCUUAGGUGGUACGGGAUGGGCAUGCGUAACAUUAGCUGGUUGGUAGGGUAACGGCCUACCAAGGCGAUGAUGUUUAGGGGACCUGAGAGGGUGAUCCCCCACACUGGUACUGAGACACGGACCAGACUCCUACGGGAGGCAGCAGUGAGGAAUAUUGGUCAAUGGGCGGAAGCCUGAACCAGCCAUCCCGCGUGCAGGAAGACAGCCCUAUGGGUUGUAAACUGCUUUUCCAGUGGGCGAAACACUCGUACGUGUACGAGAUUGACGGUACACUGGGAAUAAGCAUCGGCUAACUCCGUGCCAGCAGCCGCGGUAAUACGGAGGAUGCAAGCGUUAUCCGGAUUUAUUGGGUUUAAAGGGUGCGUAGGCGGAUGAAUAAGUCAGUGGUGAAAGGCUGCAGCUUAACUGUAGACUUGCCGUUGAUACUGUUUAUCUUGAGUAUGGUCAAGGCAGGCGGAAUGUGUAAUGUAGCGGUGAAAUGCUUAGAUAUUACACAGAACACCGAUUGCGAAGGCAGCUUGCUGGGCCAUUACUGACGCUGAUGCACGAAAGCGUGGGGAGCGAACAGGAUUAGAUACCCUGGUAGUCCACGCCGUAAACUAUG
rnacentral:rRNA from 1 species